UUUUAAUAAAUGGAUAUUUGUACAACUUUUAUGUUUUAGAAAUUAACAAUUAGAUAUUAUAUGAUACUUUAAUUUUCGCGCGGUUUUGUAAAUAAGGAACCUCGCCGCUACAGCCAAUUAAAAUGCCCCUAGACGAACUAUGAUGCGUCAUUCUUCAGUGGGAAAUUAUCGUGAGUGCUACGCAUCGCUUCGGUUGCUCGAUUACGCGAUUAUUGUUCAAUCAUAGCUUUGAAAAAAAUUCGACUAUGAAGAAAAAAUGCAUACGUCAUUCACAAUUUACUCAAGAAUUUACUCAUAAUUUUUCUGCAAAUAAGGUUAUUAGGUGACUAGUGGAAUGAAUUUUAAAAAAGUACAUAUUUCAAUAUGGAUGCCUUGAAUCAGUGAACAAUUGUUUUAGGAAAUAUUUGAGACCGAGCGCAAUGCGGUCGAUAGAAUCAGUGUUUAUUUCGUAAAAGUUUUUAUAUUUUUUGAAGUUUUGAAGUGUUUGAAACUCUAUUUAAAUUAUAAUAAUUUCGCGAGAUUAAAAUCAGUGUUUUUUUCGCCGAUUAUAAUAUAAACGGUCGCGUUAGGAUUAUUUUACUUAUUCUUUUUUUUUUUUUUUUAAAUAUUCGUUUCCGGUAUAUAUUCGAGUCAGUGUUUCAAAAAAAUAAAUCAAUCAUCAGUUAUGCAAAAAAAUGUUUCUCAGCCUCAAGACUUAUUUAAAAGUGGUUUUCUCGAUGACUUUCCAUGAUGAUAACAUUGAUGGCAGUUUUUUCGCAUCUAAUGGUAGUGGAAUGUACAACUCGGAUGCAGAAGCGUGGACAUUUUUGUAUAGAUUAUCUUUCGUGUAACGUUAUCAGUUCGCAAUGGAAUGGAAUAGAAUAGUAAACGCUCUCGAAAACAGAAACAAUUUUUCAACAUGAACAUCGGAGCUACGAGUUAUCCAGCCGGUCCGCGCUUCCAGACAGACGUAUAGAUCGCGGCCCAUAAAUAACAAGGAAGGGAAGGGCCCUCGUCUUUAAUACGAUCCCCGUUUCCCGAACUCAUAACCGUUGAUCUUCCGCUGGAAAUUCACGAGGAAAAUGCGACAAAAGUUCACCGCGCAAGAAGAUGCACACGAUGUAACAUUCAACAAACACCGGUAGACAAUGUUCCAAACUAUACAACAUACAUUUUGACAAGUUCCAGUUUCGCUUCGCAAGCAGCCGGAAAUUGAACACCGGCUGUGUUUCCUGUAUCCACGGCGGCGAGCCAGAUUCCGCGAUGGUAGUUUUACCGCGCUUUCAAGACAAACCCUGAGACGAUGAAACGGAUUUACACGGUUGAUUGAAGAGGAGUUAUACAGUAUCGACGUCAGCGACAAUGCUAGGCCGAAAGUUGUAGCGGGCGAUGUCGGCAAAUUGGUGAAAGGGUUGGCUUCAAACUGAAAUUGAGAGGGGUUGGACGUCGCCGGUACCCAACAUCAGAAGGGCAGAGGCGGGAUACGACGCUUCUGGGCUGUCGUGAACCCUGGGCUGGAGCCACCGGUGUACUUGGCAGAGAGUGCUUUUCAUCUCCGUAAAUGGACCGGCGGUAAAGCAAUUUUGGUACAUUACCUAUACCUGCUUUAACCCCUCCCCCGCCUUUUCUGUCAGACUUCCCGACCACCCCCAUCGUCUUUCAUCUUGCAUCAUCCGACUCUCGAUCGCGGGGAACGUUUGAUUUCGAUGGGAAACGUCGUAAAGGCAUUAAAGGGGGUGGGGGAGGUAUAGGGGUACAGGAUCGGUGGCGGUGGUGGUGGCCGCCAGACCCGUGAAACAAAGAAGCGAUUUCGCUGUUUCCAUCCACGUUGGCGCCGGCGACGGCCUUUUUGUAAAUGACCGUAAUCGCGCGCCACCCUCCCUCUUUGAGAGAAGUUAAAACCCUCUUCUCUCUCUCCCCUUCUCGCUCUUUCUAUUUCUCUCGCUCUCUGCGACGAGUGACGUUGAUCGAGCGGUUGCUCCAACUUUAGCGGAAAUUUCAACGCGGCGUCCAACAGUUUCUCAAACAAUCGAUCCGUAAUGUGGCACCGGCGGCGGCUAUUUUUAGUUGCUUCUUUCUUCCUUCUGGACCCGGCUAACUUCUUCUCUAUAAUCGUGCCGUACUUUUAACCUUUCACGUGAAGAACGCCAACGCGUCUCGUUGUGUUCCGGUUCGUCUAUCGCGAAUUUUCUAAAUAUUUCUUUUCCCUUCUCUUUUUCCUCUCUUUUCUUUUCUUUUACUUCGUUUCAAUCUACGAGUUGAUUCGUGUGUAUAAAAUUUUUACGUUCGAUCUCUUUUUCUAUCGACUAUCUAAUACGCGUGGAACAUUUAUAAAACUCGUUUAUUCUUUUAUAGAUUGAUGGAAAUAACAAAAGGAGAAGGGGAUGGAUGGUAAAUUUUCAAAGGCUGCAACAUCGAUCUUAACGAGCAUGAAAACGCGUACCGACGUUAUUUCGGGCGACCUCGCGAGAUAUCCAAUUCAAAAAUCUCGUUCGCAAUCGAAUCGUUGUUUAAAUGUCGGCGACCCUCGUUGACCCAGUUCGCUUGCCGUAGCGUUAGAUUUACCGCAGCGAGAAAAAAGGAAUGGAGAGAAGAAUAAGAGAGAGAGAGACAGAGAGAGAGAGAGAGAAAGAGAGGGAGAGGGAGAAUUGGCUCGUAGCUAGAAAGUAUCAACGUUUAAUCCAGCCUGAUUGCAUUCGGUCGUGCGACGAUUUUACGAGCGCGCUCAAAACGGCCUGGCAAACACAUUUUCCUUUUCGCGAAUUUUUUUCCUGCAAUCACGACCGAGAUGAGCAAACGUUCGUAAACGUUCGUGCAUCGUUCCCUAGUUCGCUUCUGACCUGGCAACUAAUUUUUGUCCACCAGGAGAAGAAAUCCAGCCGAAACGAAGUGCCUGGGGAGAGUUGACGAAUUUAUCGAUUCGUGUACGGGGUAAAAAUUGCACGCGUGCACACGAGAGAUUUGAAACAGGUUUGUCGGAAAUUGGAAUAUGCCUCGUGCGUAUUUAAUGAAAAUAUGAUAUUUUUAAAUCGAAUUUUUUUUACUUUUUUUCUCUCUUUUUUUUUUUUUUCGCCAUCGUAACAUGUUUUGAAACAUUUAGUGCUAAAAGCAAUGCGCGAAAUGUAAUUAAUCCUCCCAUGCGCAACAUUUUCCGAUUUUUCGUCUAUAAUAAUAUUGUUUUUUUUUUUUUAUUAUUUCAGUUUAUUCGAUUAUCGAAACUAUAAGAUCAAAAGCAUCGAUUUCGUUCAACAAUAUAUUUUAAUAUUUGAUUAUUGUCGUUGGUUCACGCGGGAGGAGAAACCAAUGAGACGCGUAAAAAUGAAAGAUUUUUUAUCGAGUCAUAACAAUCAAUUCGAUCAAUUCUAUAUCGUUUAUAUAUCGGUUAUUUAAUUAUUUAAAUUCUUUUCUGUUUAAAUUAUACGUUUAUCAACCUCGAAUUGAAAGUACGAUAAAAAUUUCUAUUUUAAAUUAAUUAAACAAGAAAACUUCUAAAUCUUCUCAAGUUAAUUAAAAAAAGAAAAACAAGUUUCUCACAUAAAUCUUUAUUUACAAAGAUUCUAUCGAUUUCAAGAACAGGCAAUCCAUACUUCCAACUAUCUCAGAAAGUGUCGCAAAAAUCAAUCGAAUAGAUGCGUAGCGAAUUCAUUUAUCACAGAGUGAAAUUUAGUUACGGAUUCUCAUCGAGGCAAAGAAAAAGACGGCUAGACACGACUAGAGACAGAGAGAGAGAGAGUAACUUUCCUCCGCGCGCUUUGCGGCCGUGAAGAAGGGGGUUGUGCCGCUUUUGUCGUGCUGCACAGACGCGUGGAAAAGAAGAGGCCGAUGGGCAGCCUCUUUAAAGAGUAAUUACGCCUACACUCGAUGUAUCCUGCGCCCCGUGAUAUUCUUCAUCGUUUUUUUUUCAGGUGAAUACGUGUUUGUUUGCCAUUGUUCCAUCCUCGAGGAGCAGCCACUUGAAGUCCCAUACGCGUCGAAUCCUUUAGAAAACUGCGACGAGAGGCGCGGGAGGAUCGAAGAGACGAGACUUCAUACGAGACUUCGUUUGACAGCCCACUGGUCACCGAAGCGAUUUCGCUGCAGAAAAAUGGAAGCUCGUUAACGGGCGAGGAAAAUGGUUGCUUCGACUUGGUGUUUCGUGGGUCGAAGGUCGUUUUGUGAAUCGGGCGGAGGAAGAGGAGCGAGGACGGAGGGAACGGCGGAUGCGGACUUUGCGGCCGGUGCACAAUACAGUGAAACGCACUUCACUCGGGGGCCACUCCACUCGAAGAGCGCCUAGAUUACGGCUGCAAAGGAGACAACGAGUAUCCCUUUUGCGAUUUAAGCGGUGAUGGCCGGGGUUCUUACGCCCUUUCCUUCUACGAACUCGCUCGAUUUACGCGUAUUAAAUAUAGAGGCUUUUAAAAGCGAAUCCCGCCACGAGGGGGAAAGAAGGGGAAGAAGGGAGAGGAGAGGAGAAUGGAAGGACGCGCACGCAAUCCGAGACAAUAUCCCGUUUUGGCUAAGAGGAUCGCCGUCUCGGUGGCAGUUUUAAUAAAUUUCGCCGAUUUCUACGCUCACCGUGGAUUGCAACGUCGACUAUCUACGAAUAAACGGACGGAAUCCCCGUACUUUCGGUUUAUUAUACUUCGUUAGAACCAUAACUACGAUUUUGUAAGUCGUUUUAAUAUCAUUAUUGUUCUAUACGUUUGUAACAAAAUUUUAUAUUUUAAAAAAUAAAUAAAAAUGUGAA